GACGAACCGUGCGAACGUUGUUCGGAAUCAUUGGGCGUAAAGCGCGUGUAGGCGGCCCGAUAAGUCCGCUGUGAAAGUCCAGGGCUCAACCCUGGGAUGCCGGUGGAUACUGUCGGCUCGAGUCCGGAAGAGGCGAGUGGAAUUCUUGGUGUAGCGGUGAAAUGCGUAGAUAUCAAGAGGAACACCUGCGGCGAAGGCGGGUUGCUGGCCGACACGUGACGCUGAAGCGCGAAGCCAGGGAGCGAACGGG
rnacentral:rRNA from 1 species